rnacentral:rRNA from 1 species
UGCGUAGGCGGGUUUCUAAGUCAGAGGUGAAAGCCUGGAGCUCAACUCCAGAACUGCCUUUGAUACUGGAAGUCUUGAGUAUGGCAGAGGUGAGUGGAACUGCGAGUGUAGAGGUGAAAUUCGUAGAUAUUAGGAGGAACACCAGUGGCGAAGGCGACUUACUGGACUGUAACUGACACUGAGGCACGAAAGCGUGGGUAGCGAACA